rnacentral:rRNA from 1 species
AACACAUGCAAGUCGAACGAGAUCUUCGGAUCUAGUGGCGCACGGGUGCGUAACACGUGGGAAUCUGCCCUUUGGUUCGGAAUAACUCAGGGAAACUUGAGCUAAUACCGGAUGAUGACGUAAGUCCAAAGAUUUAUCGCCAAAGGAUGAGCCCGCGUAGGAUUAGCUAGUUGGUAGGGUAAAGGCCUACCAAGGCGACGAUCCUUAGCUGGUCUGAGAGGAUGAUCAGCCACACUGGGACUGAGACACGGCCCAGACUCCUACGGGAGGCAGCAGUGGGGAAUAUUGGACAAUGGGGGAAACCCUGAUCCAGCAAUGCCGCGUGAGCGAUGAAGGCCUUAGGGUUGUAAAGCUCUUUUACCCGGGAUGAUAAUGACAGUACCGGGAGAAUAAGCCCCGGCUAACUCCGUGCCAGCAGCCGCGGUAAUACGGAGGGGGCUAGCGUUGUUCGGAAUUACUGGGCGUAAAGCGCACGUAGGCGGCUAUUCAAGUCAGGGGUGAAAGCCCGGGGCUCAACCCCGGAAUUGCCCUUGAAACUAGAUAGCUAGAAUCAUGGAGAGGUGAGUGGAAUUCCGAGUGUAGAGGUGAAAUUCGUAGAUAUUCGGAAGAACACCAGUGGCGAAGGCGGCUCACUGGACAUGUAUU